GUCGACCCCUAAGGCGAGGCCGAAAGGCGUAGUCGAUGGGAAACAGGUUAAUAUUCCUGUACUUGGUGUUACUGCGAAGGGGGGACGGAGAAGGCUAUGUUGGCCGGGCGACGGUUGUCCCGGUUUAAGCGUGUAGGCUGGUUUUCCAGGCAAAUCCGGAAAAUCAAGGCUGAGGCGUGAUGACGAGGCACUACGGUGCUGAAGCAACAAAUGCCAUGCUUCCAGGAAAAGCCUCUAAGCAUCAGGUAACAUCAAAUCGUACCCCAAACCGACACAGGUGGUCAGGUAGAGAAUACCAAGGCGCUUGAGAGAACUCGGGUGAAGGAACUAGGCAAAAUGGUGCCGUAACUUCGGGAGAAGGCACGCUGAUAUGUAGGUGAAGCGACUUGCUCGUGGAGCUGAAAUCAGUCGAAGAUACCAGCUGGCUGCAACUGUUUAUUAAAAACACAGCACUGUGCAAACACGAAAGUGGACGUAUACGGUGUGACGCCUGCCCGGUGCCGGAAGGUUAAUUGAUGGGGUCAGCGCAAGCGAAGCUCUUGAUCGAAGCCCCGGUAAACGGCGGCCGUAACUAUAACGGUCCUAAGGUAGCGAAAUUCCUUGUCGGGUAAGUUCCGACCUGCACGAAUGGCGUAAUGAUGGCCAGGCUGUCUCCACCCGAGACUCAGUGAAAUUGAACUCGCUGUGAAGAUGCAGUGUACCCGCGGCAAGACGGAAAGACCCCGUGAACCUUUACUAUAGCUUGACACUGAACAUUGAGCCUUGAUGUGUAGGAUAGGUGGGAGGCUUAGAAGUGUGGACGCCAGUCUGCAUGGAGCCGACCUUGAAAUACCACCCUUUAAUGUUUGAUGUUCUAACGUUGACCCGUAAUCCGGGUUGCGGACAGUGUCUGGUGGGUAGUUUGACUGGGGCGGUCUCCUCCUAAAGAGUAACGGAGGAGCACGAAGGUUGGCUAAUCCUGGUCGGACAUCAGGAGGUUAGUGCAAUGGCAUAAGCCAGCUUGACUGCGAGCGUGACGGCGCGAGCAGGUGCGAAAGCAGGUCAUAGUGAUCCGGUGGUUCUGAAUGGAAGGGCCAUCGCUCAACGGAUAAAAGGUACUCCGGGGAUAACAGGCUGAUACCGCCCAAGAGUUCAUAUCGACGGCGGUGUUUGGCACCUCGAUGUCGGCUCAUCACAUCCUGGGGCUGAAGUAGGUCCCAAGGGUAUGGCUGUUCGCCAUUUAAAGUGGUACGCGAGCUGGGUUUAGAACGUCGUGAGACAGUUCGGUCCCUAUCUGCCGUGGGCGCUGGAGAACUGAGGGGGGCUGCUCCUAGUACGAGAGGACCGGAGUGGACGCAUCACUGGUGUUCGGGUUGUCAUGCCAAUGGCACUGCCCGGUAGCUAAAUGCGGAAGAGAUAAGUGCUGAAAGCAUCUAAGCACGAAACUUGCCCCGAGAUGAGUUCUCCCUGACCCUUUAAGGGUCCUGAAGGAACGUUGAAGACGACGACGUUGAUAGGCCGGGUGUGUAAGCGCAGCGAUGCGUUGAGCUAACCGGUACUAAUGAACCGUGAG
rnacentral:rRNA from 1 species